rnacentral:lncRNA from 1 species
UAUAUAUAUAUAUAUAGGCUGGGACUAAUAUACUCUUAGACCUACUUAUACUUAUAAAUUUUUAACCGUUGAUUGAUGGGAUAUGUGGUUAGGAUGAUGGUGGUCCCCACUUAGAAUGAUAGUGGUCCUUUAGGGUUGAGUGGGUAGUUGGUUGAAUAGUAUGAUCUAACGGGUGGAAAUGAUUAAUGAAAUAAAUCUAAGGGCCAAAAAACUUAUGAGUAUAAAAAAGUUAAUGUUCAUAAAAGUAAAGUAGCUGGACUAUAUAUAUAUAUAUAUAUAUAUAUACUAUAUAGCGAGGAGAGAGAGAGAGAGAGGGAGAGGAGAGAGAGUGAGAGAGAGAGUGCGUCUGGGGUGCUUUCGGAAGCACGGAGCGCUCCGUGCUUCCACUUUCUUUUCGAUGUUGGGACUUUCAAAUCGACGAUCGGCUCCGUUAGACUUGAUCUAGAGUAUUUGAAGUAUCUAGAAAAUAAAUUUUGCGAUUUUUCGAUAUCAUUUGCCUAGUGAUUGAAGUGGCUCAAAAUCAACGGCUGAAAAUAAAAAUCUCACAAAAUAUGAUGAUAUGACAUUAAAAUUUUAGAUCAAAGUUAUUGAUCUUGUUUUAUAUGGUAUAAAGAAUUUUCUAUCAAAAUUUCACGUGAUUUGGAUAUUUCUACACCGUUAAACUUGCAACCGGCUCACCACGGCCGUUAAAAUUAUUGAUUUUGAGCCCCUUCGAUCACUAGGCAAAUGAUAUCGAAAAAUCGCAAAAUUUAAUUUCUUGGUACUUUAAAUACUUUAGAUCAACUCUAACGGAGCCGAUCGUCGAUUCGAAAGUCCGAACAUCGAAAAUAAAGUGGAAGCACGGAGGCCUCCGUGCUUACGAAAGCAUACCAG